CGGAGCAGCAGAGGAACAUUUUCAGCCUCUACAGAGGAAACAAUGAGUUCAACACAACAGGACCAACAUGGACUGAGAAGUCAGCGCUCUCAGGACGCUGACAAACCUCACAGAAGGAAGGAAGACAUCAAAUUGACCUGUUAUCUAUGUGGGACGGAUUUUAGUAGGAAGGAUGCAUUAAAAAGGCAUCAAGUCAUCCACACUGGAGAGAGAGAGUUCAUCUGUGACUUGUGUGGAAGGUCUUUUACCCGAGCUGGAAACCUAAAAACACACCAGCUCACCCACAGUGGAGAGAAACCGUUCAGCUGUGAGCCCUGUGGCAGAACUUUUACUCAUAGUAGAAGCUUGCGGAGGCAUCAAGCUUCCCACUCUGGAAUUAAGGCAUACAGCUGUGACUACUGCGGAAAAACUUUCACCCAACUAGGGCACAGAAAUGCACACCUACGCAUUCACACUGGACAGGAUGUGUAUUGCUGUGAUCAGUGUGGCAAAAGGUUUACAACAGAAUCACACUUACACCACCACAUGUUCACCCACACUGAGGAGAGACCUUAUCAAUGUGACCUGUGUGAUAAGACUUUUAAAGCUCCAGAUUAUCUGAAAAGACACCAAAAGGUCUCCUGCAGAAAGAGACUCUACAACUGCAGUUACUGAGAGAAGCAGAGCCACACAGAUGGAUCCAGUUCUCAACCCUGUCGUCGCUGUGGUGGUGGGAAAGCCUUCGCUGUGACCUUUGUGGGAACACUUACAGCCACGGCCAAAAAAGUUGGCACCCCUGAAAUUUUUACAGAAAUGAAGUAAUUGCCCAGAAAAUUAUUGCAAUUACACAUCUUUGUUCAUUUUCUUUGUGUGUAUUGGAGCAUUACAAAAAAUGGGGGAAAAAAGACAAAAUUCAUAUAAUUCUAUGCAAAACCCUCAACUUAAUAUUUGGUUGCACACCCUUUGGACAAAGUAACUGAAAUAAAGUGCUUCCUAUAACCAUCAACAAGCUUCUUACACCUCUUAACUGGAAAUUUGGACCACUCUUCUUCUUCAGACUGCUCCAGGUCUCUGAUAUUUGAGGGCUGCCUUCCCAACAGCAAUUUUAAGCUCUCUCCACAGGUGUUCAGUGGGAUUUAGAUCCGGACUCAUUGCUGGCCACUUCAGAGCUCUCCAGGACUUUGUUUCCAUCCAUUUCUUUGUUUGGGGUCAUUGUCCUGCUGGAAGACCCAGGGCCUUGGACACAAACCCAGCUUUCUGACACUGGGCCCUUCAUUGUGACCCAGAAUCCUUUGGUAAUCUUCAGAUUUCAUGAUGCCUGGCACACAGUCAAGGAAUCCAGUGUGAGAGGCAGCAAAACAACCCCCAAAAAAUCUUUGAACCUCCACCAUAUUUGACUGUAGGUACUGAGUUCUUUUCUUUGUAGGCCUCGUUCUGUUUACAAGACAUUGUCCUCAACAGAUUUUGGUUUACUGAUGUACGUUUUGGCAAACUGCAGUCUAGCUUUUUCAUGUCUCUGUGUGAGCAGUGGGGUCCUCCCGGGUCUCCUGCCACAGCGUUUCCUUUCAUUCAAAUGUCGACAGAUAGUUGGCACUGACACUGAUGCACCCUGAUCCUGCAGGACAGCUUGAGUUUCUUUAGAACCUCUCUCCUUUUUAUCAAGGUUCACGUGAUUUUUUUUUUUUUAAUUUUAAAUAUUGCUCACACUUCUUAUUUGUGGGUCAUCCUUCAACACUGCAGGCGACCUUAAAGAACAUAAACGAGUCCACACAGGAGAGAAACCAUACAAGUGCAGACACUGACAAAAGCUUCUCUGAUUCAGGUCAUCGUAACCUUCACGAAUGUACACAUAAUGAAGGGAACUACAGCUGUAGGAAUCUCAGUUCAUACUCCCAACACAAACGAUCCCAUGCUACAAAGAAAUUGUUUCACUGUUGCUGCUCUGUCCGAACAUCAGGGUGAUCAUGCAGAGCUGAAAUCAUUCCCAUCAUUGGAUCACAAUGAACCUGCAGAGAGACUGAUACCACGUUUCCACUGACAAGGUGCCGGUGCUCGUUCCAAUGAACCAGUGAACUGCUUACGAACAGGCCUGUUUCUCCACCGCUUUGCAAGCUGAUCCUCUGUGUAUGCGUGUGGGCAGUUCCUCGUUUGGGAACGGAAACCAAAGGGCACAAAUGUGGAAGAACACGCUCCCCUUUUGCCAACUUUAUUUCUACUGCUGUGAACAUGUUUUACAGUCCAAGCAAACUACUGCAGCGUCUGUGUGCGGCACAAGGGAAACACAGAGUAAUUAUGAGAAAGACAAGUACGCACUUUGUAUCCUUUUAUCUGUUAUUGAUUGAUGCAAAGCGGUAAGCUCAGCCUUAGAGCCCAACCUAAUUCACAGCAACAUCGCUUUUCUCAUGGUGGACAACUUUACGUUGUGAUGGCAGAGUCAAGCCCUUGGCUCCAGACCUGCUGGAACGGAACCCGUUUUUCAGCCAAGCACCAAGUGAGUUCACUGUGGGGAAAAAGCAAUGCACAGUUUGAGCACUUGGCAUUGGCACUGUGUCAGUGGAAAAAGGGGAAAAAAAGUCUCUUCUUGUUGCAGAGUAAAACUUGAAAUCCUCGGGAGCCGGCUCCACAGAAUUCCGAUGGAAUCUCCUUCAUUGAGUGUUGGCUAAUGUCACACUUGGAACUGAUCAGGUAGCUCUUAAGCUGCAAGUAUAGACACAUCAACAUUUUUCUUUACCUUUUGAGGGUUUUUUUUUAUUAAUGCUUUGUUUACUGCUUUUUUUUUCUUUCUUUUUUUUAGUAUUAUCCCAGUUCGAUUUAAUCUUUUUUUUAGCUUUUAGAUGCUGUGGUAUUAUAGGCAAUUUUUUUCUUCUUAAUGUUUGAGGAAUUUUAAUGGCCUUUAAUGUUCUCCCAGUUGCAUUUUAACAAGCGACCUUGUCUAUGGUUAUGUAUGUUAACAGGUCAAUGUUGAUUUAUACCCCUGCAAUAGUCCAUCAAGUCAGCUGGAGUUAUUAGUUAUUAGUGUUAGUUUUGUAUUUUUAUUGUUUUAAAUUUAAUUUCUUUUCCUUUUCUGCAACUUUGAAGUCCAUGUUUGUUUUUCUUCAUGGAUUUCGAUCCACGUGUUUGUGCAGCUGUGUCCUCACCCCCAGUGAUGGGCAAGUCAUGCCCCUCGUCCCCAGACUCUGCUUCCACUACAGAAGGCGUGUCAGUGGGAUUCAGGAGUUCCUUGAAGUAUUCCUUCCACUGUCCUACUAUAGCCUCAGUUGAAGUUAGCAACACCCCACCCACUCUAUAGGCCGUAUAAGAAGAGCACUACUUUCCUGUCCUGAGUAGCCUGAGGGUUUGCCAGAAUGGCUUCAAGGCUAUCUGAAAGUCUUUUUCCAUGGCCUAACUGAACUCCUACAGCCACUGCCUGAGCCGUGUUUUGCUUAGCCUGCAAGUACCCAUCAGCUACCUCCAGAGUACCGAUAAGUCUGAUAAGACUCCUCCUUCAGCUUGAUGGCUCCCUUCAUGCCUGGUGACACCGUCUGGUUUGGGGGUUACCACCACGACAGACAACAACCACCUUGCAGCCACAGCUCUGAGCAGCAGCAUCAAAAACGGAGGUGCGGAACAUGGUCAAUGUCCUCAGCCUCACUCCAAAUGCUGUCAAAGUUCUGCUGGAGGUGGGACUUGAAGAUUUCGUGGACUGAGGCUUCUGCUUGGCGUUCCCAGCGCACCUUCAUGAUAUGUUUAGUUGCGCCAGGACUGCCCAGCAUCCUCCCCCACCACCUGAUCCAACUCACCACCUGGUGGUGAUCAGUUGACAGCUGAGUGUUCAAAACGUGUGGCUGUAGAUCUGAUGAUUUCGUAAUCAUAUCAGUCAUUGACCUGCAACCUAGGGUGUUCUGGUGCCAUGUGCACUUAUGGAAAGCCUCAUGUUCGAACAUAGUUUUUGUUUUGGACAAACUGCCGUUUGCACUGAAGUCCAAUAAGGAAACACCAUUUGGGUUCAGAUCAGGCAGGCUGUUCCUCCCAAUCACACCCCUGCACGUCUCCCUAUCACUGCCCACGUGAGCAUUAAAGUCUCCCAGCAGGACAAUGGAGUCACCAGAUGGAGCACCCUGCCCAGCAACUCCAAGAAGGGUGGGUACUCUGAACUGUCAUUGAGCGCACAAGCGCAAACAACAGUCAGGACCAGUUCCCCGGCCCGAAGGCGCAGGGAAGCAACCAUCUCAUCUACCAGUGAAAUGCCAACAUGCAGGCAGCGAGCCCGGGGAAUAAAGAAUACCCACCCCAGCUAGCCGCCUCUCACUGAGGGCAACUCCAGACUGGAACAGAAUCCAGCCCCUCUAAGAGCCUGGUUCCAGAGCCCAGGCCAUGCGUUGAGGUGAACCUGACUAUAUCUAGGCGGUAUCUCUCAGCCUCGAUCACUAGCUUAGGCUCCUUCCCCACCAGAGAGGUGACAUUCCAUGUCCCAAUACCAGUCUUGAUAGCCAGGGAAUGGUCAGCCAGGGCCUCCACCCUUGGCCACCGCCUGACACACACUGCACCUAACACCCUAUGACGCCUGCUGCGGGUGGUGGGCCUACAGGAGGGCAGGCCCAUGUCAUCUCUUUGGGCUGCACCCAGCUGGGCACCACGAGCCAAUGCCUGGGCACCAGAUGCUCUCCCUCGAGCUCCCGUUCCAGGGUGGGACCCCGGUAACCCCAUCAGGGUACACUGUUCUCUUGGUGACUUUUUCAUAGGGAUUUUCUGAAUCACUCUUUGUUUUA